rnacentral:rRNA from 1 species
CUUGCACCUGGUGGCGAGUGGCGAACGGGUGAGUAAUACAUCGGAACGUACCUUAUCGUGGGGGAUAACGCAGCGAAAGCUGUGCUAAUACCGCAUACGCCCUGAGGGGGAAAGCGGGGGAUCGAAAGACCUCGCGCGAUUAGAGCGGCCGAUGCCUGAUUAGCUUGUUGGUGGGGUAAAAGCCCACCAAGGCGACGAUCAGUAGCUGGUCUGAGAGGACGAUCAGCCACACUGGGACUGAGACACGGCCCAGACACCUACGGGAGGCAGCAGUGGGGAAUUUUGGACAAUGGGGGCAACCCUGAUCCAGCAAUGCCGCGUGAGUGAAGAAGGCCUUCGGGUUGUAAAGCUCUUUUGUCAGGGAAGAAACACCGGCUCUAACACAGUCCGGGAAUGACGGUACCUGAAGAAUAAGCACCGGCUAACUACGUGCCAGCAGCCGCGGUAAUACGUAGGGUGCGAGCGUUAAUCGGAAUUACUGGGCGUAAAGCGUGCGCAGGCGGUUAUACAAGACAGGCGUGAAAUCCCCGGGCUUAACCUGGGAAUGGCGCCUGUGACUGUAUAGCUAGAGUGUGUCAGAGGGGGGUAGAAUUCCACGUGUAGCAGUGAAAUGCGUAGAUAUGUGGAGGAAUACCAAUGGCGAAGGCAGCCCCCUGGGAUAACACUGACGCUCAUGCACGAAAGCGUGGGGAGCAAACAG